rnacentral:tRNA from 1 species
GGUUGUGGCUCAGUGGUACAGUGCUUGCCUAGCAUGAGUGAGGCACUGGGUUCAAUUCUCAGCUCCA